UACGUAGGGUGCGAGCGUUGUCCGGAAUUAUUGGGCGUAAAGAGCUCGUAGGCGGUGUGUCGCGUCGGUCGUGAAAACUUGGGGCUUAACCCUGAGCUUGCGGUCGAUACGGGCAUCACUGGAGUUCGGCAGGGGAGACUGGAAUUCCUGGUGUAGCGGUGAAAUGCGCAGAUAUCAGGAGGAACACCAGUGGCGAAGGCGGCUCACUGGCCCGAUACUGACGCUGAGGCACGAAAGCGUGGGGAGCAAACAGG
rnacentral:rRNA from 1 species